rnacentral:tRNA from 1 species
CCUUAAUUAGCUUAUUUAAAGCCCUAAACUCUUAAUUUAAAAGAAAAUAGUUAAAGCCUAUUAUUAAGGA